AAAUCAUGAUGAGGGUACCUUCUAAAAAGAUCUUUAAAUCUCUCCCAUGCAUCAUGCAAUGUCUCCAUAUAAAAUUGAACAAAAGAGGAUAUGUCGUUUCUCAACUU
rfam:Gossypium arboreum cultivar AKA8401 contig_46963_1, whole genome shotgun sequence.